ACACACACACACACACACACACACACACACCGAUGCAGAAGAACAAGUUAAUACGUGCAAAUAUUGAAUCUCAUUGGCUCAGUGAUGUAGGGGGACACUUUGUGUCAACUCACUUGAUCCUGUGUGCGUCUUUGAGAGGGCACCCUUUGCGUUUGUGCUCCAC